CAACCCAUAUAAUGACACAGUCACAUUUACACACACAAUACAUUUAUACCAACAGCAGUAAUUAUCAUAUCAUUACAUAUUUCUGUAAGAUAUAGCAUUAUUUCAACAUGUUAUAUAACAUUUUCUACUCGUGUUUCCUUGUAUGCUCUUAAUCAUCUUAUUAGACUUAAUUCAUUGUCACGGUCACGUCCUGCUCUUGCUGCGGAUCAUUUCUGGCGAUGGCUUCUGGUAUCCAGUACACUUAUCACAAUUCUUGUUUAGUUUUUCUUGUUUUUUAUUCUAUGUCUGGUUUUCUAUAUGCUGUGUUUUCUGGGUU